GCCGGCGUGGCGCAAUGGUAGCGCGUAGCUUUCCUAUUCGUCGUUUCGGAAUAGUUAGAAAGGCUGAAGUUGCGGGUUCGAUCCCCGUCGUCGGUU